GGAAAGUCCAAGGGUUCCUGCUUAAAGCUAAUCUGAGCAGGGUAAGCCGGCCCCUAAGGCGAGGCCGAAAGGCGUAGUCGAUGGGAACCAGGUUAAUAUUCCUGGGCCAGGAGAUGGUGACGGAUCGCAGAGCUAGUUCUUCCUUAUCGGAUUGGAAGGGCUGGUGAGUGGUUCCUGGAAAUAGCCCUCCAUGAGACCGUACCCUAAACCGACACAGGUGGACUGGUAGAGAAUACCAAGGCGCUUGAGAGAACCACAUUUAAGGAACUCGGCAAAAUACCUCCGUAAGUUCGCGAGAAGGAGGCCCCGUUGGCAGGCAACUGUUGGCGGGGGGCACAAACCAGGGGGUGGCGACUGUUUACUAAAAACACAGGGCUCUGCGAAGUCGUAAGACGACGUAUAGGGUCUGACGCCUGCCCGGUGCCGGAAGGUUAAAAGGAGAUGUGCAAGCAUUGAAUUGAAGCCCCGGUAAACGGCGGCCGUAACGAUAACGGUCCUAAGGUAGCGAAAUUCCUUGUCGGGUAAGUUCCGACCUGCACGAAUGGCGUAACGACUUCCCCGCUGUCUCAAAUGUGGACUCAGCGAAAUUGAAUUGUCUGUGAAGAUGCAGACUUCCCGCGGUUAGACGGAAAGACCCCAUGCACCUUUACUAUAGCUUCGCACUGGCAUCAGGAUUGUGAUGUGCAGGAUAGGCGGUAGGCUUUGAAGCGGGAACGCUAGUUCCCGUGGAGCCAUCCUUGAGAUACCGCCCUUCGCACUCUUGAUGUCUAACCGCGGCCCGUUAUCCGGGUCCGGGACCCUGCGUGGUGGGUAGUUUGACUGGGGCGGUCGCCUCCCAAACAGUAACGGAGGCGCGCGAAGGUUGGCUCAGACCGGUCGGAAAUCGGUCGUUGAGUGCAAUGGCAGAAGCCAGCCUGACUGCAAGACUGACAAGUCGAGCAGAGACGAAAGUCGGUCAUAGUGAUCCGGUGGUCCCGAGUGGAAGGGCCAUCGCUCAACGGAUAAAAGGUACGCUGGGGAUAACAGGCUGAUGAUGCCCAAGAGUCCAUAUCGACGGCAUCGUUUGGCACCUCGAUGUCGGCUCAUCUCAUCCUGGGGCUGGAGCAGGUCCCAAGGGUAUGGCUGUUCGCCAUUUAAAGAGGUACGUGAGCUGGGUUUAGAACGUCGUGAGACAGUUCGGUCCCUAUCUGCCGUGGGUGUAGGAUACUUGAGAGGAGUUGCCCCUAGUACGAGAGGACCGGGGUGAACGUUCCACUGGUGGACCAGUUGUCGUGCCAACGGCAGUGCUGGGUAGCUAUGAACGGACAGGAUAAACGCUGAAGGCAUCUAAGCGUGAAGCCCCCCUCAAAACCAGGUAUCCCUUGAGAGCCGUGGAAGACCACCACGUCGAUAGGCCGGAGAUGUAAGCGCAGCAAUGCGUUCAGUUGACCG
rnacentral:rRNA from 1 species